rnacentral:rRNA from 1 species
AGAGUUUGAUCCUGGCUCAGAACGAACGCUGGUGGCGUGCUUAACACAUGCAAGUCGAACGAGAAGUCUGUAGCAAUACAGAUUGUAAAGUGGCGCACGGGUGAGUAACACGUGGGUAAUCUGCCUGUAAGACGGGGAUAACUCCGGGAAACCGGGGCUAAUACCGGAUAAUAAGAGAAGAAGCAUUUCUUCUUUUUGAAAGUCGGUUUCGGCUGACACUUACAGAUGAGCCCGCGGCGCAUUAGCUAGUUGGUGAGGUAACGGCUCACCAAGGCGACGAUGCGUAGCCGACCUGAGAGGGUGAUCGGCCACACUGGGACUGAGACACGGCCCAGACUCCUACGGGAGGCAGCAGUGGGGAAUAUUGCACAAUGGGGGAAACCCUGAUGCAGCAACGCCGCGUGAGCGAUGAAGGCCUUCGGGUUGUAAAGCUCUGUCUUCGGGGACGAUAAUGACGGUACCCGAGGAGGAAGCCGCGGCUAACUACGUGCCAGCAGCCGCGGUAAUACGUAGGUGGCAAGCGUUGUCCGGAAUUAUUGGGCGUAAAGGAUGCGUAGGUGGUUCUUUAAGUGGGAUGUGAAAUCCCUGGGCUUAACCCAGGAAUUGCAUUCCAAACUGGAGGACUAGAGUGCAGGAGAGGAAAGUGGAAUUCCCAGUGUAGCGGUGAAAUGCGUAGAGAUUGGGAGGAACACCAGUGGCGAAGGCGGCUUUCUGGACUGUAACUGACACUGAGGCAUGAAAGCGUGGGGAGCAACAGGAUUAGAUACCCUGGUAGUCCACGCCGUAAACGAUGGGUACU